UUCAUGAUUUUCAAAUAUACUAAAGAAGCCAUGGGAUGAAAGCAAAAGCUGAUUCCGCUCACAUUUCCAUUACUUAUAUAAACUCUCAUCAUCAUUAACAUAGUUCAAAACACCUACCAAAAAAGGGCGACCACUAGUAUGCGUGGGCUUGUGGUUAAGCGCAGAGGUUGGUCCCGUUGCAUGCCUAGUUCGAGCUUCUGUAAGAAGAGUAAUUAAACAUGUUUCUGUUUAAGGUCAAAGACCGGUUCAAGGCUGAGGAAGAGAUUAAAGCGGAAGGCCUAACUUCUUCGGGAAAAGAAGAAGCAAAAGCUGCAUUAUCAACAGAAAAAUUAUACCUGUUGUUUGUUGUUACUUGUUUUGCCAUAUAGAACGUCUAAACCGAAAAAGAUGGGGUCGAGUUAGAACGGUUUGGCUCGGUUUCUAAGAACCAAACCAUCUUGAGCAAAUAGAUAUUAUUAAUUUAUUAUUUGUUUGGUCCACUUCGGCCAUAGGUAAGUUAAGUUUGAGUUGUUGGGUUUGCAGCCGGUUCACUAGGGUAACAGAUUUAUGUUUAUAAACAUAUAUCCAAAACCAUUAACAAACUUAAUUCGGUUUACUUAGUUCCAAAUUCUUAACCGGAAUACCCAAAAAAUAAACCAAGAAAAAAAAUCAAACUCCAAACCAGCUUGAAUUUUCUUCAUAAGAAAAUCCUCAAGAUAAGGAUAUAUGUAUAGAAAAACUCAUGAUUUAAACUUAAAACCAUACCAAAUCAAACAAAUUAUUAACUUGUUUCUUCAAGUUUGUUUCAGGCUGUUGAUUAAUUUGUCGUGUCUUUCUUUAAUUUGUCAGAUACAGGAACCAAAUUGCUUUUGAUUUCUUACUUCUGUCUGAAUCUCGAAUGAUGAGAAGAAUUAACCAAGUUCAUCGAACAAAGGAGUACAAUACAAUUCAGGUUAGCGUUCUGUCUUUGUUCUGUCUUUAUUUUGUGGUAUAAUUACUCAUUGAUCUUGACUUAAUGAAUAGAUUUAGCUUCGCCGGUAAUUAAUGUUAUGGUUAGCUAGAUGUCACCUCGGUUCAAUUGUGCAUUGAUACUUCUCUCGGUGUAGUGUUGAAUGUGUUAGAUAGAUGUCACCUCGGUUUGGUUGUGCAUUGAUACUUCUCUUGAAUGUAUAAAAAUUCUUUACUCCUCCUCUUUCUUGAAUUCAUUUCUACCCGUCUUCUUCUCCUCUCACUUCCACAUUAUUUCCUUCUCCUCUCUCUUACUUGAUCGUCGUUCGGAGAUGGAUUCCAAUCCAUUUACGCAAACAUCAAACUUUGUUGACUUACUAAAUAGUCAACAAAGUAUCUCCUUUGGGAACUAUGAAGAUAGUGUUGAUCUAUCUUCAUCUCAACUUCCUUCUGUAGGUACAGAUGAUCCUGGUGAGCGUCAGGAACGAAGGAAGUGGACUCCCACGGAUGAUGUUGUUCUGAUCAGCUCGUGGCUUAACACGAGCAAGGAUCCAGUUGUUGGCAACGAGUAAAAGUCAGGUGCAUUCUGGAAGAGAAUCGUAGCCUACUAUGCAGCAAGUCCGAAGAUGGCUGGCUGCGAACAGAGAGAGGCUUCUCAUUGUAAGCAGCGUUGGCACAAGAUGAACGACUUGGUCUGUAAGUUCUGUGGCGCGUACGAGGCGGCAACUAGAGAGAAAACUAGCGGUUGCAAUGAGAAUGAUGUCCUCAAAAGAGCUCUUGAGAUAUUCUACAAUAACCACAAGAAGAAAUUCACUCUAGAGCAUGCUUGGAAUGAGUUAAGGAACGACUAGAAGUGGUGUGAUGGUUCUACUGCUAAAAUCGAUGGGAGCGGUAAGAAGAGGAAGUGUGCUGACGGUGCCGAUUCAUCGAGUUCACAAGGAACUGAUACCAAGCGUCCUGCGGGUGUAAAGGCUGCAAAGGCCCGUGGAAAGAAGACUUUGGUAGAGGAGAAUUCACUAAAUGACUUUCAGUUUAUGUGGGACAUUAAGCAGAUGGACUUAGCACAGAAGGAAAGGUUGUCGAAGCUGAGUCUACUUGACUUUCUUAUUGCAAAGAAAGAACCUCUAGCUGAGUAUGAAGAGGCCCUUAAGAAGAAGCUCAUCAGUGAAGACAUGUGAAGACAUUGGGAGUGGUUGUGUGACGGAGUGAUUGGAGUCUUGUGUCACGGAGUGUUGUAUUGUACCAGUCUAUGGAGUCUUGUGUGUUGUUGUAUUGUCUAAGUCUUUCGAGUCUUGUCUCUUGUUGUAUUGUAUCAGUCACGGAGUGUCACGGGUCUUGUUCUGUUUUGUCACGAGUCUUGUUGUAUUUUGUUGUGUAGUCUUGACCUCACCAAGUAAUGUUCUAUAUAUUAAGCGAUGUUGUCUA